rnacentral:rRNA from 1 species
GACGAACGCUGGCGGCGUGCCUAAUACAUGCAAGUUGAGCGCUGAAGGUUGGUACUUGUACCAACUGGAUGAGCAGCGAACGGGUGAGUAACGCGUGGGUAAUCUGCCUUUGAGCGGGGGACAACAUUUGGAAACGAAUGCUAAUACCGCAUAAAAACUUUAAACACAAGUUUUAAGUUUGAAAGAUGCAAUUGCAUCACUCAAAGAUGAUCCCGCGUUGUAUUAGCUAGUUGGUGAGGUAAAGGCUCACCAAGGCGAUGAUACAUAGCCGACCUGAGAGGGUGAUCGGCCACAUUGGGACUGAGACACGGCCCAAACUUCUACGGGAGGCAGCAGUAGGGAAUCUUCGGCAAUGGACGAAAGUCUGACCGAGCAACGCCGCGUGAGUGAAGGAGGUUUUCGGAUCGUAAAACUCUGUUGGUAGAGAAGAACGUUGGUGAGAGUGGAAAGCUCAUCAAGUGACGGUAACUACCCAGAAAGGGACGGCUAACUACGUG